rnacentral:rRNA from 1 species
GACGAACGCUGGCGGCGUGCCUAAUACAUGCAAGUAGAACGCUGAAGGAGGAGCUUGCUCUUCUGGAUGAGUUGCGAACGGGUGAGUAACGCGUAGGUAACCUGCCUGGUAGCGGGGGAUAACUCUUGGAAACGAUAGCUAAUACCGCAUAACAGUAGAUGUUGCAUGACAUUUACUUAAAAGAUGCAAUUGCAUCACUACCAGAUGGACCUGCGUUGUAUUAGCUAGUUGGUGGGGUAACGGCUCACCAAGGCGACGAUACAUAGCCGACCUGAGAGGGGGAUCGGCCACACUGGGACUGAGACACGGCCCAGACUCCUACGGGAGGCAGCAGGAGGGAAUCUUCGGGAAUGGACGGAAGGCUGACCGAGCAACGCCGCGUGAGUGAAGGAGGUUUUCGGAUCGUAAAGCUCUGUUGUAAGAGAAGAAAGAGUGUGAGAGUGGAAAGUUCACACUGUGACGGUAUCUUACCAGAAAGGGACGGCUAACUACGUG